AGUGAACGCUGGCGGUAGGCCUAACACAUGCAAGUCGAACGGCAGCACAGUAAGAGCUUGCUCUUACGGGUGGCGAGUGGCGUACGGGUGAGGAAUACAUCGGAAUCUACUUUUUCGUGGGGGAUAAGGUAGGGAAACUUACUCUAAUACCGCAUACGACCUACGGGUGAAAGCGGUGGAUCUUCUGACCUUUCGCGGUUGAAUGAGCCGAUGUUGGAUUGGCUAGUUGGCGGGGUAAAGGCCCACCCAGGCGAGGAUCCGUAGCUGGUGUGAGAGGAUGGUCAGCGGCAUUGGAAGUGAGCCAGGGUCCAGACGCCUACGGGACGCCGCAGUGGGGAAUAUUGGACAACGGGGGCAAGCCUGAUCCAGCGAGACCGAGUGGGUGAAGAAGGCCUUCGGGUUGUAAAGCCCUUUUGUUGGGAGAGAAAAGCAGCAGGUUAAUACGCCGCUGUUCUGACGGUAACGAAAGAAUAAGCACCGGCUAACUUCGUG
rnacentral:rRNA from 1 species